GAUUAAGAACUUGACUCCUCUAUUCUGA
rnacentral:piRNA from 1 species